UGCAUAUUUAUGUGGGUUUCAUUGGUGAACCAGUGGCGCAUGGAAGCUAAAUAUACUAUAAAUGGCAGUUGGUAAGUGGGAAUGGUCAAUUAUUUAUGGUUUGUUUUUGGUUUGCAAAAUAAUCAAAAUGUUAGUUUGACAGACGACAACAACAACAACUCGUUAUAGUUUGUUUCAAGACAUAUAGAAAAUAGAAUAAAAGAAUCAUUUUGAUUUUGUUUGAUGAUACAAACUGGAGCAUAUUAUGAUCUGUUUGUUGGAUGAUUUUAACAUAAUGUUUUAACUGAAAAUUGUUUUAUGGUACUAGAAAAGGAAGCUGUGUGUUCACUGUUGGCACAUUGAAUGAUUGGAUAAAUAAUGCUCUAUUGGAUAAAUACGUAAAGUUCAUUGGACAGCUGUGAUUGUGGUGUGGACAGCUAAGAUUGUGUUUUGGACAGCUGAGAUUGUGACUUGGACAGCUGAGAUUGUGGUGUGGACAGCUGAGAUUGGUGUGGACAGCUGAGAUUGUGGUGUUGACAUCUGAUAUUGUGAUUUGGACAGCUGAGAUUGUGACUUGGACAGCUGAGAUUGUGCUGUGGACAGCUAAAAUUGUGGUGUGGAAUAAUGAUAUUGUGGUGUUGACAACAUAUUGUGGUGUGCACAUGUGAUAUUGUGGUGUGAUGGUUUAAAGUAGCAAAGGUAAAGAACGUUUGACAGCUUAGAUUUUGGUGUGGACAGCUGAUAUUGUGGUGUGGACAGCUGAGAUUGUCAUGUGGACUACUUAUAUUGUGGCUUGCAGAGCUGAUAUUGUGGUGUGAUGGUUUAAAGUACUAAAGAUUUAUUCCUUACUACCUUCCUGUCAACUAUAUCUUCCACAGCAUGAUUUAAUCUAGUCCCAAUCAUUGACUCUGGUUACCUCACCAGACGGUCCGUCCACAGAGUCACAAGCAACAGAUACUAAAACUCGGCAAAGUACAUGUACUUCAGUCUUCCAGAGGAUAUUGUUAACAAUGAUGAUUUGAUGUAAAAAGAAAAUGUAUUUGAAUAGCUAUAUUUCUCUUGUGUCACUUGGGUGUCAAAGGUCAUUUUAGAGAUUGUCCGGGCUGUAACUUUGUAACGCAUAAACGGGCUUAAAUGUUUGCCUCAGCUAGACAGUGUUGUGUUGAACUCCCAGUCCUUUUGACCGCUGGUGGGCUCGACAUGUUUCCUGUGGGCAUUUAGUUUAUAUUGCAUAUACUUCAAGUAGAUACACAUUUUAGAAUACCAGUAGAUAACCAAAUAAGAAAGAAAACAUUUUUUUAUUUUACAUAAUAGCAAAAUCUGGAAAAUUUUAACUUCAAUUUUCACUGUUAUAUUAUUAUAUAAUCACUUAUGAUGAGUAUGAAUGCAAUAUAGACACUGUAGACAAUUAAUCCCGCAUUUUUAUUCAUAUGAAGAUACAAUAUCUUGUUAUCUAUUAUUGUCAAUCAUUGGUAUGUAAGAUUUUUGCCAUAGGUUUGAAUAGCUGACAAGCAUGGUAGAAAUUAUUAUUAACCAUUAACGGGCUAAAUUUCUAUAAUUAACUUGUCCAUCUUUCAAUAUGGACAGUAUCAUUAAAUGAAAGGGAUGGUUACCAAAACAUACUGACUGAAUGCAAACAGUGAAGAUCUUGAUCAGGCUAUACGGAUGUGCAGGCUGAUCAUGAUCUACACUGUUCACAAAGGCAGAAUCAAUCGUGUCCAGCAUGAUAAGGGUUAAAUCCGUUGUUUUUACUGCCUCCUUUUUUGGCUCAUUAUUGUACAAGUACAUAUACAGCAUUGCUUUUCUUACCAUGUAAUAAUGCAUAUGAUUGCUUUUCAAAAUAACGAAGCUUUUUCUCCUCUCUCACCAUACUUUAAAUAAGUUCAGUUUUAGAAAGUGUUUUGGGGCAAAUUAUAUUCAAAUCAAUGUAGUCAAUGAAUGUGUGCAAUUUCAGGUGAAUGGCUCAAGCAGUUUUAUAUCAAAUUAUAUAGUUAAUUUUGUCCCCUGUGCAUCCUAGAAAGUGUGACAUUUUAUAUGAAGGGUAGUUUUCAACUGUGUUUUAUUUUUCAAACCAAGCAUUAUUGUAACAGCUUUAAUUAUUUAUGUAAGUCAAACUCUGCACAUUUAAAGGAAAAUACUUUUUUUCAUAAACUACAUUUUAUUCUUACCAAUGUGUCAAAUCUUGUGAUGGAACCCCCUUCACAAAUAAAUAUGAAAACAAUUCUAAAUUUAAAUGUUGAUCACUUCAAUUUCAUAACCCUAUUGCUUUUCUUAUGUCCUAAUGUUUUACAAGAUCUUAAUAUUUUCAGCUAUGAAGAUCCAAUUAGUAUGAUUUUUUGUUUGAUAAAUCAAUUUAGCAGAACCUUGAUGAAUGUCUAUACACCCCAAAAUGUCCACUUUGCACCAUUUUAGUUGUUAAGUGUCAGAUAUAUUUUGAGCCGCGCCAUGAGAAAACCAACAUGGUGGCUUUACGACCAACAUAGAUCCAGACCAGCCUGCGCAUCCACACAGUCUGGUCAGGAUCCAUGCUGUUCGCUAACAGUUUCUCUAAUUGCAGUAGGUUUUGAAAGCAAACAGCAUGGAUCCUGACCUGACUGAGCAGAUGCGCAGGCUGGUCUGGAUCCAUGUGGUCCCAAAGCCACUAUGUUGGUUUUCUCAUGGCGCGGCUCAUUUUAUUUUUUAAAUAGAAUAUUAUUUUACUUUACUUUUUCCUUGAAAGGGAGUUACAAUUGAUAUUAAAGCAGCUUUUGACUUCACAUGUAAAGGAUUGUUAAACAUUCACAAAGCCAAAGCUGUGCAUCCUUUUUUAACAUUCAUAAAUUACCUUAGCAUUACAGUAAUAUGUACUGGCAGUUCUAUGUUCUGAGCAAUGUGUACACAAUGGUUAGGCAAUACUUGACGAUUUAGAAUUAUGUAAGAAACCCUGGAAAAUUUAUAAUUCAUUCUUUGCUUUUUUGCCAAAGUUGUCGAGUUUCAAGUUAAAAAGUUACUAAUACUACUUCUUAAGCUGUUAAUUUUACAUCCAUAUGUUAAUGGCCGCUAGUGAAUAUUGUGUAGUUGAAAGAAUUUUAAUUACUACUGAUUUAUAGUAUAAAUAUUUUUGGCUGCAAUUUGUCCCCUGUGUAUCUUCUCAGUAACAUUAUAAAGUAUGUAUGUAUUUUACUAUUCCACAACAUACAUCAUGUGCCCUGACCUGCCAUAUUUGGUUAAAUCAAGCUUUUAUUGUUUUAAUCAUCGUUUAUUUUAAGAUUUACACUGAUAUUGAAUAUUUUUACUGAAUUCUGUGUAUGACAGAAUAUUUAUGCUGAACCCUUUAUAUAACAUAAGGUUUUUUAUACUGUAUUCUGUAUAUAGCAACAUUAUUUGUUUGUAAACUUUAUUGCACAUAAAAUAUCAAAAGCAUUAAAAUGUUUUAAGCUGUCAAA